GUAGGUGAACCUGCGGAAGGAUCAUUAGUGAAUUUUAGGGCGUCUACUUCGGUAGAGCCUGACCUCCACUCUAUCACACUGUGCACUUAUUGGCGGAAAGGAAGGGAGCAUGCGACGAGUUUACUCAACCCAAGUGUAACCUUCUGCUCUGCGGCUUACUAUUUAAACAUUUGUCAAAGUAUGUAAAGAAAUAUCGAAAUAAAAAAAAACUUUCAACAACGGAUCUCUUGGCUCUC
rnacentral:misc_RNA from 1 species